CAAAAAGAACAAAUUACAAGAUAUAGAAAUAUGACUAAAUGUGCUAUUAUGAAUGAGGAUUGUUAUAUACAUAUAACCUGCUCUGAGAAAGGACUUUUUGAAAGAGAAAGGUUAAGAGAUCAGAGUAACUUUUGAGCUAAUGAGGACACUAGGUGACAUCAAGCCCAAACACUUUCUGAGCAAGUGGCUGGUCCUGAGAGGUGAUCGAGGUCACACAACUAUAAGAUAUAAGCAGGAACUGAAAAAUCACAUCUCCAGACUCAUCACUUGGGUUUGGCCAUGGACUUGCAUAUCAUUGCCGAGAGAAGUCUCAAUAGCAGCUUAAGUACUAUUGAGGACCCCAAGAUGACAAAUUUUCUCCAUCUCUUCUAAGGCUGAAUUGUCAUAUGCAGUGUGCUUUAUGACUAUGCUUUGAUUUGUGCUGAUGGAUCUAAGGUGUGCACCUCUGGAGGCUUUGAGGUGGCUAUACUUCAGUUGUGGAUAAAGAGGUGAAGAAGGACAUCUAUGGUGAUGCUCAGUAAUAUCUGCGAAGAACUGUGGAGACAGACAAAUAGUCAAAGCCUCUGCAGGAAGCAUGGCUGGGGAGGCCUCAGGAAACUUACAACCGUGGCAGACGGCAAACGGAAACAAGCACAUCUUAUGUGGCCAGAACAGAAGGAAGAGAGAAAAAAAUGAA